UACUAAGUGCAGCGCCUCAUUUGAGU
rnacentral:piRNA from 1 species